GGUGUAGGCGGCUCUUCAAGUCGAAUGUAAAAUCUCCCGGCUUAACCGGGAGGGACCAUUCGAUACUGCUAGGCUCGAGUGCAGCAGAGGAAGGUGGAAUUCCCGGUGUAGUGGUGGAAUGCGUAGAUAUCGGGAGGAACACCAGUGGUGAAGGCGGCCUUCUGGGCUGUAACUGACGCUGAGACCCAUAAGCGUGGGGAGCAAACA
rnacentral:rRNA from 1 species